UGAGUGAGAUCCCUCUAAGUCCCACAUCCCAAGGAGCCAUCUGCAGCUCACGUGGGUGCAUGUCCAGGGCAGGCUUUGUAGGCACACUACUCAGGCCCAGGGCAAGCAGUCACAAUAUGCCAAUCUCACUGACCAAUCUCAGCUUCACGUUCACCCUGCCUGGACAAGUGCUUUCAUAGUAGUUCUGGGAAUGUGACAUUUCAGCAUCUGACCAGUACUGACCGCAUGGCACUUCCUGUUCAUAUGUGCUAUUUCAUCAAUUAAAAAAAAAUCAUGAAACGAGAGAAGCAACCAAUCUGAAUGGCCAAUAGGACCUCACUACGCAUUACUAUGUGGUCUACCCAUAGAUGUUUCUAAAUGGUUAUGUGGGAGGCAACAACGGAGUUGGGAAGAAUCAGUGGCUGGCUUCUGUCACAGGGGAAACCCCUACAUCCAGCAUGCCAGCAUAAACAGAACUGAGAAAGGGAACUGGAGAGCUUCACACAGGAGGCCACCUUAUCGCAGAGGAACCUUCUCAAUGUGCUUUGCAGCUCCAUAAAAUAAAACCAGUGGAGGUAAACAGACACAACUUCAACAAAUGGUGACAGUGCUACUUACUUUUUGUAGUAACAUUUCCUAAAACUACCCAAAAUGUAAUCCCAUCUUCCCCAGUCAACAAAUCAGAGACUGACACUGCACUUACUUCAGCCACAGCAGCUGUGGGUCAUGGAGUGUUUUUCAAACCUGUGAAUGGUCCUCUGCCUCCAAAAGCCUGUAUUUUUUUCCCCAUGAUUUGUCUAAUAAUAGAUUUUCUUCAGACUAACUACUAUAAAGUCAGCUUUGUUUUUACUCCUUUUCUUUAAGAGCUGGUGUGUUUGGCGCUCUACAAUCUACAGUAACUGAGAAGACACAACCUCACCUGUCUGGAAAGAACUAACAAGGUUUCCCCCACUAGGUUAAGAACGUGUCUGCAGUAACGCUACCUUUCUGGGCUACUAUCCCACUGUACAUACACAAAAUCAGCCAAUUCAUUCAGGUCCAUAUUUAUUAACAAGCCUGUACACUGUUAAUACUUCUGAUGCCCGAAAAAAAGAACACUAAUAGAACACAGUCUUAAUGUUUCAGAUGCCAAAUGCUUUGAUAUUAUUCCUGUUAAUGUCAUGAGCCUGGACUGGCUCACGGAACAAGAACUGAGCACUGCAGUCCAGCACUACAGAAGGAAUGACAUGAGGGUUGUUGAUCAGCGUUUGGGGGUGUAUCAAUCUGAUGCAGAAAGACAAGUGUUAUUAGAGCUCCCAGGAGACAGUCUCUCUUACAAGCCCAGUUUGGUCCUUCUCCAGUGUCUCCUCUUGGAGUUGUACCUGAUCUUAUUGCCCGUUUUCAUGCGAAUCCAUUGAGGAAUGGGGCGGUUUUGCUUCUGCUUCUUCGCGAGGAAGCGUUUGAUCUUGAAGGUCUUGUGAGACGACAUAGCGCUGCGCGGUUCGGCGUCCCGACGAUGGCGGCUGCGAAAGAGGCGGAAGGGGCGUGGCGAGGGCGGGGCGGCGACGCGGGCCCGUGGGCACAGCGCCCCCCUGCGGCGCGGCUCUGAG
rnacentral:lncRNA from 1 species